UACGAAGGGGGCUAGCGUUGCUCGGAAUCACUGGGCGUAAAGGGUGCGUAGGCGGGUUUUUAAGUCAGGGGUGAAAUCCUGGAGCUCAACUCCAGAACUGCCUUUGAUACUGAAGAUCUUGAGUCCGGGAGAGGUGAGUGGAACUGCGAGUGUAGAGGUGAAAUUCGUAGAUAUUCGGAAGAACACCAGUGGCGAAGGCGACUCACUGGACACGUAUUGACGCUGAGGUGCGAAAGCGUGGGGAGCAAACAGG
rnacentral:rRNA from 1 species